CCCUACUGGACAAUCUACAGUGCUACAUUAGUUAUUGCAUUGAAACAGCUGGUAAUUAAGAAUUGAGAGCAGCUUGGUGCAUUUCCCCUCUUGGCCAAUCAGGGUGUGGCAACGCCCCUUCUUUGUGACUUCAGGGAGGUGGGGACUCACACCUCCACAUCUCUUAAUGCAGACCUCAUUUUAGCCGAUUCAACCAGAAACUCUGGUCUUCAGGCCCUUUCGACACUUCUUUCCAGUCUUUUGUUUUUCUGGUUGAGCAAUGGGUGGACCCGCAGUCAUGGGAAGAGACAUAAGGCCAAGAAGAUAGCCUAUAGCCUGCGAUGCCUGCAUGGGCCCCACCAGCUCGAAAGCUAUGGGAGCCAUCAUGGUGAGGAAGCAGCCAUCACACAGCCCCAAGAACACGCACACAACCACCAGCCACUCGAACACCAAGCACUGAGGGAUCAUCAUGGACAUCAGGCCCAGAGCCAUGAAGGACACCACCUGAAACACAUAAGACCUUUGGAACAGCAGACCAGGAAGACCCAACGCAUAUAGGGCUCUACAUUCAUCAAUGGCCAUAGGAUAGGUAUGUUUAGGAAUACAGAGAGGCCAUACAGGAGAGGUUUCCUGAGGUGGACGAGCCAAUACAAAGACCGGGGCUGUGCUUACAUCUGGGCCCAGCCUGAAACAACAGGCCUGACGGAGGGAGGCCGGAGCUGGAACAUCCGACAUCUGGAUAGAGGGAGAUCAACUUCACAGCUACACGAUGGACAUAUGGCACAAAGUAUCCCAGUACAGCUGUUGCAACUCCAAACGCCCACAGUCGGUAUGUCAAGAUGUGGAACACACGCAGGUUGAAGUACUUCCUGACCUCACCCAGAACCCUGCUCCACCUGCUCCCCUCCUGGGUGGUGGCCCCUGGCUGGGUUUGGGGUUUGGCAGGGCCAGGACCCAUACCUGGGGGUCCCAUGCCUCCUCCAGCAGGCAGUAAAGGUUUGAACAGCAGCGCCAGCAGGGCCUGGACCAACAUGAAGAGGCUGAGAAUCUGAAAGGUCCUGCUGAGGCCCAGAGGUUCCCCCACCUUGUUGAGCAAAACUGGGAGGCCCAUGGAGAAGAGGCUGGCACCGGCCGUCACCACGCCGUUGGCCAGGCCCAGGCGCUGGCGGAAGUAGUGACCGAGGAUGACCAAUGAGGGCUGGAAGGCGAAGGAGCAGCCACAGCCGAACAAUAUGCCAUAUGUGAAAUAGCGAAGGCUCAGGGAGCUGCAAUGGAAAAGAAACUGAGGGUCAAAGGACAGAGGGUGUUGUAUGUUGUCGCCACUUGUGGCAAAUUUGAGAUGUGUUAUAUUGGACUAUAUAAAUAUAAUUGAUUUGAUGAUUAGACUGGUAUCUAUACUUCCCGAUAAAAACGUUCCGCAGCGCCGCAGAUAUUCUAAAAAUGUGACUCCGCUCCAGGGAUCGCAGACACUGCAGAAGUUUGAUUGGAUAUCAGGGCCCGGGAGUUGGCUUUUCAGAAAAUGACCUUCCAUCCAAUACAACAACAAACAAAGACCGCCAGACAAAAGAUUUGAAAAAAUCUAAAAUAAAUGAUAUUCUAUGCACAAUCCGCCGAAGAACUAAUUGUAUGCCUGGCGCGCACAAGAGGAGGCCGCACAGGACGCGUAAGUACACAGGAGUAUGAAUCAGGCAUGAGGCGGAACUGUAAUUAUGGCUGCUCUUUGUAGAUUUGUGUAGGUAACAAAAAAUGCAAGGUUUUCCUAAAAGGUUUCUGUGGAAUUGGUAGUAUAGCUUUAUUUUCACUGUCGUAUCUAUCUUCAUGUUUUUUUUCUCCCGCUCUGUGUGAGUAUAGACUUAGUGCAAGAAAGUGGAAUAUGAGUAUAUUAUACUAAAUUAUAAAAAGCAUCUUAUAUGCUUACUAUGACUUACUGCAUGGCCGUUAAGAUAGAUUUUGAACAUUUCAAACAUCUUAGAGUAUUUAUUUUUCAGAAACACAAAUGCUUUGCUCUGUGACUAAAAUGUACUGUUAAUACAUUAUGGUCACAAAGUAAGGCUCGGACAAGUAAUGUCUUUAAUAAUGAAUGUACAGUAGCUUACUUUGCAAAUGAUGUACCGAGCAGCCCUAUAAAAGCCAGCACUGCCCCGCUGACAGCUGUCUUCCUACAGCCGAAGCGGUCUGUGAACAUGCUGACCACAGGUGAACAGAAGAAGAUCAUGCCCAUGGCCAGGGCCCCGACCCAUGCUGGAGAGGAAGUGGAGAGGAGAGAGAAUUCAUCGUCAGAAAUAUGUGGAUACCCUAUAUGUUGUAGCUAUCACUUACACUAAAUAAAAGACAGUCGUGUACCCAUUUGUACAGCAAGCAAGGCUCAAAGUCCAUGCAACAUGAAAUGUGAGCUGUAAAUCAAUGUGUCAUUGAUAUAAAGGAUACAAUACCAUACAAUAAAACUGACGUAUAGUCAAAUUAA